rnacentral:ncRNA from 2 species
AGCAGCCGCGGUAAUUCCAGCUCCAAUAGCGUAUAUUAAAGUUGUUGCAGUUAAAAAGCUCGUAGUUGAAUUUCGGGAUUGACGUGAUGGUCAUGCCUUAAGGGGUAUGAACUGUUACUGUUGAUUUCUCACCUUCUGGAGAAACUUGAUGUCCUUUAUUGGGUGUCUUGCGGAUCCAGGACCUUUACCUUGAAAAAAUUAGAGUGUUUAAAGCAGGCAUUUUUGCUCGAAUACAUUAGCAUGGAAUAAUAGAAUAGGACGGCAUGGUUCUAUUUUGUUGGUUUCUAGGAUCACCGUAAUGAUUAAUAGGGAUAGUUGGGGGCAUUAGUAUUCAAUUGUCAGAGGUGAAAUUCUUGGAUUUAUUGAAGACUAACUACUGCGAAAGCAUUUGCCAAGGAUGUUUUCAUUAAUCAAGAACGAAAGUUAGGGGAUCGAAGACGAUCAGAUACCGUCGUAGUCUUAACCAUAAACUAUGCCGACUAGGAAUCAGACGAUGUUAAUUUUUUUCAAUGACUCGUUU